CAGGUGGUCAGGUAGAGAAUACCAAGGCGCUUGAGAGAACUCGGGUGAAGGAACUAGGCAAAAUGGUGCCGUAACUUCGGGAGAAGGCACGCUGACACGUAGGUGAAGUGAUUUACUCAUGGAGCUGAAGUCAGUCGAAGAUACCAGCUGGCUGCAACUGUUUAUUAAAAACACAGCACUGUGCAAACACGAAAGUGGACGUAUACGGUGUGACGCCUGCCCGGUGCCGGAAGGUUAAUUGAUGGGGUCAGCGCAAGCGAAGCUCCUGAUCGAAGCCCCGGUAAACGGCGGCCGUAACUAUAACGGUCCUAAGGUAGCGAAAUUCCUUGUCGGGUAAGUUCCGACCUGCACGAAUGGCGUAAUGAUGGCCAGGCUGUCUCCACCCGAGACUCAGUGAAAUUGAACUCGCUGUGAAGAUGCAGUGUACCCGCGGCAAGACGGAAAGACCCCGUGAACCUUUACUAUAGCUUGACACUGAACAUUGAGCCUUGAUGUGUAGGAUAGGUGGGAGGCUUUGAAGCGUGGACGCCAGUCUGCGUGGAGCCGACCUUGAAAUACCACCCUUUAAUGUUUGAUGUUCUAACGUGGACCCGUGAUCCGGGUUGCGGACAGUGUCUGGUGGGUAGUUUGACUGGGGCGGUCUCCUCCUAAAGAGUAACGGAGGAGCACGAAGGUUGGCUAAUCCUGGUCGGACAUCAGGAGGUUAGUGCAAUGGCAUAAGCCAGCUUGACUGCGAGCGUGACGGCGCGAGCAGGUGCGAAAGCAGGUCAUAGUGAUCCGGUGGUUCUGAAUGGAAGGGCCAUCGCUCAACGGAUAAAAGGUACUCCGGGGAUAACAGGCUGAUACCGCCCAAGAGUUCAUAUCGACGGCGGUGUUUGGCACCUCGAUGUCGGCUCAUCACAUCCUGGGGCUGAAGUAGGUCCCAAGGGUAUGGCUGUUCGCCAUUUAAAGUGGUACGCGAGCUGGGUUUAGAACGUCGUGAGACAGUUCGGUCCCUAUCUGCCGUGGGCGCUGGAGAACUGAGGGGGGCUGCUCCUAGUACGAGAGGACCGGAGUGGACGCAUCACUGGUGUUCGGGUUGUCAUGCCAAUGGCACUGCCCGGUAGCUAAAUGCGGAAGAGAUAAGUGCUGAAAGCAUCUAAGCACGAAACUUGCCCCGAGAUGAGUUCUCCCUGAGACUUAGAGUCUCCUGAAGGAACGUUGAAGACGACGACGUUGAUAGGCCGGGUGUGUAAGCGCAGCGAUGCGUUGAGCUAACCGGUACUAAUGAACCGUGAGGCUUAACCUU
rnacentral:rRNA from 1 species